AUUGAACGCUGGCGGCAGGCUUAACACAUGCAAGUCGAACGAGUGGCGGACGGGUGAGUAAUGUUUGGGAAUCUGCCUUCUGGAGGGGGAUAACUACGGGAAACUGUAGCUAAUACCGAGUACCAGAGGAUAUGCGCAAGUGGGAUUAGGUAGUUGGGGAGGUAAAGGCUCACCAAGCCGAAGAUCUCUAGCUGGUCUGAGAGGAUGACCAGCCACCAUGGGACUGAGACACGGACCCGACUCCGACGGGAGGCAGCAGUGGGGAAUAUGGCGCAAGGGGGGGAACCUGAGGCAGCCAUGCCGCGUGAAUGAAGAGGGCCUGCGGGUUGUAAAGUUCUUUCGGUCGCGAGGCGUUACCGACAGAAGAAGCACCGGCGAACUCCGUGCCAGCAGCCGCGGUAAUUC
rnacentral:rRNA from 1 species